rnacentral:rRNA from 1 species
AUUGAACGCUGGCGGCAUGCUCUACACAUGCAAGUCGAACGGUAACAGGCCGCAAGGUGCUGACGAGUGGCGAACGGGUGAGUAAUGCAUCGGAACGUGCCCAGUCGUGGGGGAUAACUACUCGAAAGAGUAGCUAAUACCGCAUACGAUCUAUGGAUGAAAGCGGGGGACCGUAAGGCCUCGCGCGCUUGGAGCGGCCGAUGUCGGAUUAGGUAGUUGGUGGGGUAAAGGCUCACCAAGCCAACGAUCUGUAGCUGGUCUGAGAGGGCGACCAGCCACACUGGAACUGAGACACGGCCCAGACUCCUACGGGAGGCAGCAGUGGGGAAUUUUGGACAAUGGGCGCAAGCCUGAUCCAGCAAUGCCGCGUGCAGGAAGAAGGCCUUCGGGUUGUAAACUGCUUUUGUACGGAACGAAACGGCUCUGGUUAAUACCCGGGGCUAAUGACGUUACCGUAAGAAUAAGCACCGGCUAACUACGUG